rnacentral:ncRNA from 1 species
UAAACAGCGAUGAUGAGAAGGAGUAAUAUUACUUGAUGCUUACUAGAGAGGAGGUUCUUGGCUGGAAAACCUCUAGAUAGAGUAUAUGAAGCAGUCUCUGAGCUAUAAUCUUGAAAUAACUAUAGUUAAAUUAGAGAUUAUCGGUAAAUCCGUUAUCUUUUUCCUAUGAGCGACCGUUUAUACGGUAAUUAGGGUGGUACCGCGAGAAUACUCUCGUCCCUACU